rfam:Aedes albopictus isolate Foshan contig114349, whole genome shotgun sequence.
UAGCCUAGUGCUUAAGGCUAUGGAUCGCCAAUCCGGAGACGGCGGGUUCGAUUCCCGU